GAUGAACGCUGGCGGCGUGCCUAAUACAUGCAAGUCGAGCGAACGGACGAGAAUCUUGCUUCUCUGAUGUUAGCGGCGGACGGGUGAGUCACACGUGAAUAACCUACCUCUACGACUGGGAUAACGUCGGGAAACCGGAGCUAAUACCGGAUAAUAUUUUGAACCGCAUGGUUGAAAAGUGAAAGACGGUCUUGCUGUCACUUAUAGAUGGAUCCGCGCUGCAUUAGCGAGUUGGUACGGUAACGGCUUACGAAGGCAGCGAUGCAUAGCCGACCUGGGAGGGUGAAGCGCGACAGUGAGGGUGAAAGGCGGUCCAGGCUCCUACGGGAGGCAGCGGUAGGGAAGCGUCGGCGAUGUGCGGAAUCCUGACGGAGCGGCGCCGCGUGGAUGAUGAAAGUCUGCGGAUCGUAUAACUGUGUUAUGAGGGAAGAACAUAUGUGUAAGGGACUGAGCACAGCGUGACGGUACCUAAUCAGAAAGCCACGGCUAACUACGUG
rnacentral:rRNA from 1 species